rfam:Pan troglodytes isolate Yerkes chimp pedigree #C0471 (Clint) chromosome 11, whole genome shotgun sequence.
GCUGGGCAUGGUGGCUCAUGCCUGUAAUCCCAGCACUUUGGGAGGCUGAGGCAGGUGAAUCACUUGAGGUCAGGAGUUCAAGACCAGCCUGACCAACAUGGUGAAACCCCGUCUCUA